rnacentral:lncRNA from 1 species
AAUCUCUAAAUUCGAAUUUGUGAUUCAAACUUAGAGUCAAAGUCAUCAUGCCCAAUCAAAAUAUCCAGCAUGCUGCAAAGUUUUUAUUUUUAUUUUAAUUAUAUAUAUAUACUCAUUGCUUUAUUCAUUUUAAACAACUACUUCCAAGUGUAUAUUUUAUACCCACCAAAUAUAUGUUGUAAUAAAAUAAUUUCUAUUGCACAAAUUUAUUGAUAGUUAUUUCAGAUACAUUUCUAAAUAUUUUAUCUAAAAAGAAUAACUUAAUUUUAUAUUGAUUUUUUUCGUAUUAUUCUAUUAGAAAUCCCUAGUAAUAUUUUUGAUUGCUACAAAUUCUACUUUUCAAACUUAAACUUGUCUUAAAAUUUUGAGUACAAAGGUAAACAUGUAAGAACUCCAUCAUGAGGUGCAUAAUUCUAUAUCUAUUUAUUUUGUUAUUUGGUCAAUAUAAUUAUAUUAUUUGAAUAUGCACACAUAGAAGAAACUCAAUUAAUCUCCCAAGGUUCCAUAAAUUCCUCAAGACAUUAACUUAUACUAUAUUUAUUUAUUUAUUUAUAUCCUUAUUUUUUGUUGAUACAAAUUUUGGGCUCUACAAAUCCUACCCCCUUAAAAAGAAUCUCGUCUCCGAGAUUUGUAAGUAAAGGGAUACAAUAGGUUUGGUCUAGAAUUUUAGUUUCUCAUUUGGUUUUGGGAAUCAAAGUUUUGUUCAAGUUUUUACAUAUGAAUAUUGUAUGUCUAGACAUUUAUUAGGUCAGAUGAGGUACGGUUAUGGCAAGUAGAGGCUGUGGCAAGGGUAUAAUAAGGAAAGACUUCAUCCUGAACUCUGGAUCUUGAUUCCUCUCGCGAUCUAACUUGAUCUUUGAAGACUUGAGUUGAUGCUUAUCUUCCUUUGACGUGGUUGGUCUUCUUUGGCCUUUAUUCUUGGAGUUAUCAUCCGAGUUAAUGACAUAUGGUUAAGAUAGUUGUCGGUGCUUGGAUGGGUAGGCCCAACAAGUUUUACUUUGCUUUUGGGAUAAAUGGGUUGGGCAACCUAUAACAUAGGCUAGGUUGUGGUUUCACGGACGAGUUGGUCUAAGACACCAAUUCAGGUUUAGCACCCAUUUAUAGGAAUAUAAUCUAAUCUAUGUUUCCAGUAUUAACUAGCUUGUUUAAGUAACUUAGAUUAUAGUAGUUCAACUUAAGGUUAGACUUCGUUAGGUUGGAUUAAUCUAUCACAUCGGAUCAGAUCUAGGUUAGAUUGUUAUGACUAGAUAGACUAGAUAAAAUCUCAUUAAUUAGAUCCUGGUUGUUACUUUAGGAUGAGAUAAGUAGAGUGGUUAGGAUAAGAUGAUUCCUUCAAGAUAAGAUGAAUCUAUUGGGAUAAGAGAGAAUCUUUUAAGAUAAAUGGAUCUAUAUGAAAUAGAUACACUUUAAUGGAGGAUAAUCUAGGUUGUUUAGUUAUCUCAUGAAUUUUAUUCAUUUAUAUUUAUGCCUAUAUGUAUAUGUAGAUGUAAUUGUGGAUAUUACUCCACAACUCAUCACACUCAAUCAAAGAUCCAAAUCAGACAAGUAUCAUAAGAACAAGCAUUCAAACACAUAGAUACCUAUAAAAAUAGUUUUGUUUUUGUUCCUAAGAUUAGGUCUCCUAGUCCUAAGAGUCACUUUAGGUACAGGAUUUCAAAGUGUGAAAUCCACAUUUGUCUUUAGAAAGAAAAGAUAAGAAUAAUCAGAGUAAGCGGAAUUAGAUGAGAAAAGAUUAAGAAAAGUUUAGAAAGAAUCAGAGUAGCAAAGGUAAGUAAGUAUUUGUUGUCCAGUUCUGUCUAGGUUUCGUCCUACAGUCAACAUUGCUCUGAUACCACUUCUGUCACACUCGGGUUUCGGGGCACCAAGACCCGGGCGCGAACAUAAUCACCAGGUGUGCUGGGACCAGGUCUCACACAUAUGAUGAAUCAUGGCACAGGAUCGAAUGUCACAACUUUACUAUAUAAUAGGAAUUCUAUACAAAAUAAAUAAUUACAUAUAAGGAGACAACGGUCCAGCAACCCAAAGUUGACUGGGAGACGACGACCUAGACCUCUCACGAACACAUCACAUCAUCCUCCAAGCGCCUCAUCCAGCGGUACCUGUUCUUGACCUGUGGGGGGUGUGAGACAGCAAGAGUGAGCUCACAUACGUUCAUCGCUCAACAAGUUGUGGGGAAUAAUGUGCAUGAACUCGCCAAAGGUGGGAGCUCACGUGAAGUGUAAGGCUUACCAAAGAGGAUGGUUAGAGCUGAGCGUUGCUUUUAAAGUUGGUCAAAAUUUUAUUAGCAAUUACUAAGUAUAAGUAAAUACCAACCCAAUUAAGUAGUAGAACAAAAGUAACAACAUCACCUGCGAUGCAAUGCAUAUGACAAAUUGAAUUUAAGUUUCAUAAUUUAAUCAUCAGAGAGUCCUGAGCUGCUCAUGACCGUGAGCUCGGCUAGUAUACCAGUUUUACACUCUGCAGAGGUGGUACCCUUUACCCACAAGUCAUGUUACCCAUCUGCCAAGGGAUCGCGACUUCCCAUACACCUCUACCGAGGAGGCGAGGCAGGGUAACACUACGAGGCCUUUACAAAGUUCCACUAGCUUUAGAAAACCCGCUACAGUUUAUAGGAAGCUCCAAUGCAGGGUUCUUGCCUGACCGCCAUCGCAGCAAAAUCAACCAAGGACCUCCCUACACUGACCACUCCCCUACUGCCCUUGCCCCUUUCGGGUAAGGUAGUCCUCCACUAGCUUUCCUAAUUAAUCAGCCAAGGGCGUCCAUAAACCCUUGUGGUGGCACAUGUUUCUCAAGUUAAGCUCUAUGUUCCAAUUAACAUUAAUGAUCUUGACAUGAGCAUAAAUAGAAUAACAAAAUAACUGAAACAUAGAUAUGAUAAAUAAUUAUCCCAAAUCCAUAUAAAGCAAUAGCAAACUACCCAAGUGAUUCAGGGGUAAACAAGGUAAUGAGAUAAACAAUCUAGGGUAACCUAUUGGGUCCCAUCAAAAUUAACCUAUGCAUGAAUAAAUGAUAUUAAAGAACAUUAUUGGGUAACAAAAGUGAAUCAAGGGCACAACUUGCCUGGGACUUGAGAUUCCAGGUACCAGGAUGAUCUUCAGGUGACUCGUGACCUCACGCUAGUCGUAGCAAUACAAACAAACAGUGUAUAGACAAAAUUAACAUUACACCAAACAUAAGUACAAACUGAAUAAUAAUAAUCUACGCGUCGCUACGAGACUAACGCAACUUCAACGGAUCAAAUCGGAGUUAAAACGAAGCAGUUACGAAUUUCCUAAGGUUUUAUGUAUUUGAUACGAGAUUAAUUAAGAGAUAAAUUUUAAUACAGCUUUCAUGUCAAACCAGAGGUACUAUGUGAUAAACAAUAAUAUUAUAGAAUUAUAGGAAUUGGAAUGAAUCAAUUUGGACAUCAUAUGAAUUUUCUAUGAUUAAUACAAGUUCUAGCAUUUAGUUUUACACUAAAAAUCCAUUUCUAAUCUAUUUUCUCUGAUUUUCCAACUUUCUGGACUAGGCCUCAAUUACCCGAAAAGGCAGGGGCCUCGGGGUAACAUUUCUAAGACACAAGAAACAGUAGCCAUGGACUGCGGGUUCUAAUUUGCCUAAACCGAGGGGUUCCAGUGAAAUUGGGCCCGCGAAGGGGUAUCGUGAGAUUCUGGCCGUUCGAUCAGAAACUACAGGCUCCGAUUAGAUCGCAAUUUUCUCCAAGCGGUACACCUCGCUAGCCGCCGAAUCUCGCAUCGACGGUUCUGAUUCCCUGAAACACUCGUCGCCCCGAACUCUAAUCCCAGUCGCCCAACUAAGAUCCAAUGGUUACAAACAUCUCCCCUUUCCCUACCAUCCGAGACUGCUCACCUAGGAAUCAACGGCUAACACACCGUCUUCUCCACGGCGCUAUCCGCCGCUGCGCGCACCAGGCAGGCACAGCCCCACCCACGGCCGCAGACGCCCCCCACCGAUGCGCGCAGUAAUCACGCCACCACGUCAGACCUAGGUCGAGCGAUGGUGAUACCACGCCCCGCUACGCCGAGCCGAACGCCAGCCCAGAUUAAGUCUAGCCGCCAAGGUGAGCUACGCCAGGAAGAAGAAUAAGGCGAGAACGUGGGGGUGUUCCCUACCGAGGGAUUGCGCGACGCAGGAGACCACAGCCGAAGUCUUGCGGCCCGACGAUGCCGACGUGGAUCCACCACGGCGGCCGCAUGCUCUACCCCUGCUACGACGGCGACUCUAUUUGUCGAUGUGGAGGGUCACUGAUUGUCGCAUCCAAGGUAUGCGGCGGCCGUUCUUUUUAUAUCCCGAACGCGAGGCCGAGGACCCAGUCAAAUCCCACCGACCCGCCGAAAUCGCGGAUUCUGUUAGGCUUCGGUGCUCGUUUCAACGAGGAAGACGCCUGGAACGCCAGACCCACCACGCAACAACCCAAAGCGAGGCAAGCGUGCGUCCAAGGCAGCCAGGUGGGACCCACCGGUCGUCCCAGGCGCACAGCGCGCAGCUCCCCUGGCGGAGGUUGAGCAGCACGUAGAUGCAUCCCUGGUCCAUAACUCCAUACGGUUCGGAAUACGGAGCAAUACUCGGGCCCAGUCAUCAGUGGUACAAUCGCACCUAGAGAUGAGGUCACUACUAACGUCGGCAUGACCUCACCACUCAUGAAUACAUUAAACAAUUCCGGCAGCUCGUCAAUUGUGUGCGCAAGCAUGUGGUUUCCAGUCCAGGUCUGUUGGGUGAGCCGAGCCGGAGCUCCAUGGCCCAGGUAACGUGUUUCUUUUUUUUAUUAUUUCUAUUUUUGUUGUUGUUUUCUAAUUUAAAUCUCUAAAUUCGAAUUUGUGAUUCAAACUUAGAGUCAAAGUCAUCAUGCCCAAUCAAAAUAUCCAGCAUGCUGCAAAGUUUUUAUUUUUAUUUUUAUUAUAUAUAUAUACUCAUUGCUUUAUUCAUUUUAAGCAACUACUUCCAAGUGUAUAUUUUAUACCCACCAAAUAUAUGUUGUAAUAAAAUAAUUUCUAUUGCACAAAUUUAUUGAUAGUUAUUUCAGAUACAUUUCUAAAUAUUUUAUCUAAAAGAAUAACUUAAUUUUAUAUUGAUUUUUUUCGUAUUAUUCUAUUAGAAAUCCCUAGUAAUAUUUUUGAUUGCUACAAAUUCUACUUUUCAAACUUAAACUUGUCUUAAAAUUUUGAGUACAAAGGUAAACAUGUAAGAACUCCAUCAUGAGGUGCAUAAUUCUAUAUCUAUUUAUUUUGUUAUUUGGUCAAUAUAAUUAUAUUAUUUGAAUAUGCACACAUAGAAGAAACUCAAUUAAUCUCCCAAGGUUCCAUAAAUUCCUCAAGACAUUAACUUAUACUAUAUUUAUUUAUUUAUUUAUAUCCUUAUUUUUCGUUGAUACAAAUUUUGGGCUCUACAAAUCCUACCCCCUUAAAAAGAAUCUCGUCCCCGAGAUUUGUAAGUAAAGGGAUACAAUAGGUUUGGUCUAGAAUUUUAGUUUCUCAUUUGGUUUUGGGAAUCAAAGUUUUGUUCAAGUUUUUACAUAUGAAUAUUGUAUGUCUAGACAUUUAUUAGGUCAGAUGAGGUACGGUUAUGGCAAGUAGAGGCUGUGGCAAGGGUAUAAUAAGGAAAGACUUCAUCCUGAACUCUGGAUCUUGAUUCCUCUCGCGAUCUAACUUGAUCUUUGAAGACUAGAGUUGAUGCUUAUCUUCCUUUGACGUGGUUGGUCUUCUUUGGCCUUUAUUCUUGGAGUUAUCAUCCGAGUUAAGGACAUAUGGUUAAGAUAGUUGUCGGUGCUUGGAUGGGUAGGCCCAACAAGGUUUACUUUGCUUUUGGGAUAAAUGGGUUGGGCAACCUAUAACAUAGGCUAGGUUGUGGUUUCACGGACGAGUUGGUCUAAGACACCAAUUCAGGUUUAGCACCCAUUUAUAGGAAUAUAAUCUAAUCUAUGUUUCCAGUAUUAACUAGCUUGUUUAAGUAACUUAGAUUAUAGUAGUUCAACUUAAGGUUAGACUUCGUUAGGUUGGAUUAAUCUAUCACAUCAGAUCAGAUCUAGGUUAGAUUGUUAUGACUAGAUAGACUAGAUAAAAUCUCAUUAAUUAGAUCCUGGUUGUUACUUUAGGAUGAGAUAAGUAGAGUGGUUAGGAUAAGAUGAUUCCUUCAAGAUAAGAUGAAUCUAUUGGGAUAAGAGAGAAUCUUUUAAGAUUAAUGGAUCUAUAUGAAAUAGAUACACUUUAAUGGAGGAUAAUCUAGGUUGUUUAGUUAUCUCAUGAAUUUUAUUCAUUUAUAUUUAUGCCUAUAUGUAUAUGUAGAUGUAAUUGUGGAUAUUACUCCACAACUCAUCACACUCAAUCAAAGAUCCAAAUCAGACAAGUAUCAUAAGAACAAGCAUUCAAACACAUAGAUACCUAUAAAAAUAGUUUUGUUUUUGUUCCUAAGAUUAGGUCUCCUAGUCCUAAGAGUCACUUUAGGUACAGGAUUUCAAAGUGUGAAAUCCACAUUUGUCGUUAGAAAGAAAAGAUAAGAAUAAUCAGAGUAAGCGGAAUUAGAUGAGAAAAGAUUAAGAAAAGUUUAGAAAGAAUCAGAGUAGCAAAGGUAAGUAAGUAUUUGUUGUCCAGUUCUGUCUAGGUUUCGUCCUACAGUCAACAUUGCUCUGAUACCACUUCUGUCACAACCGGGUUUCGGGGCACCAAGACCCGGGCGCGAACAUAAUCACCAGGUGUGCUGGGACCAGGUCUCACACAUAUGAUGAAUCAUGGCACAGGAUCGAAUGUCACAACUUUACUAUAUAAUAGGAAUUCUAUACAAAAUAAAUAAUUACAUAUAAGGAGACAACGGUCCAGCAACCCAAAGUUGAAUGGGAGACGACGACCUAGACCUCUCACGAACACAUCACAGCAUCCUCCAAGCGCCUCAUCCAACGGUACCUGUUCUUGACCUGUGGGGGGUGUGAGACAGUAAGAGUGAGCUCACAUACGUUCAUCGCUCAACAAGUUGUGGGGAAUAAUGUGCAUGAACUCGCCAAAGGUGGGAGCUCACGUGAAGUGUAAGGCUUACCAAAGAGGAUGGUUAGAGCUGAGCAUUGCUUUUAAAGUUGGUCAAAAUUUUAUUAGCAAUUAGUAAGUAUAAGUAAAUACCAACCCAAUUAAGUAGUAGAACAAAAGUAACAACAUCACCUGCGAUGCAAUGCAUAUGACAAAUUGAAUUUAAGUUUCAUAAUUUAAUCAUCAGAGAGUCCUGAGCUGCUCAUGACCGUGAGCUCGGCUAGUAUACCAGUUUUACACUCUGCAGAGGUGGUACCUGUAGGAAACGGGUGACGCCUAAGAGGGGGGGGGGUGAAUUAGGACUUCCAAAACUUUUACUAAACUAGGCCACAAUUAAAUCCCUAGAGCAAAACCUUUGCAAGUAAUCAAACUAGAGUGUGCAAACUAGGUUUUGUCUAAGUGUUGCUAUCUCUACCGCAAAGGUUAAGUUUCAAUCUACACUAAACAAGUAUGACUACAAGAUUGAAACUUAAAUGCUUAAUAUAAAUAUGGAAAGUAAAGAGCUAGGUAGAGAAGCAAACUCUCGUGGAUGACGCCGGUAUUUUUACCGAGGUAUCCGGAACCACGCAAGGUCCCGACUAAUCCUCGUUGGUGCCCCUACGCAAAGGGAAGCCCACGCGAGGGCCAAGCACCUCGGUCGAGUAACUCCGUAGAGAGCCGCGGGCCUUCUCCACGCGCAAGUGGUGCUCCGCUUCCGGCUCCUCUCGGACGCUCCCCGCCGUCUCCACUAUCGAGCUUCCGGCCGAAACGCCGCGGGCCUCGUUCCCUCCGGUACACGGUGGCGGCCGUGACACAAACGCGGUUGUCACGGUCUCGCAAGACUCUCGCCCCACUCGGUACAAUUACAACGACUCACGCAAGAGCCGAGGGGUUGUGUGGUUUUACAAAACUUACUCAACUAACUAGGAUUCACCUAGAGCAAGCGCUAAUGCGGUCUAACUAACCUAAGCACUUCACAAAGCACCUACGCUAAUCACCGAGUGAUUCUAUUAAGCACUUGGGUGUUUGAGCACUUGGAAAUGUCUACAAUAUGCCUUGGUAUGUUUCUUGGGCUCCCACACAUGAGAAUGGCCGGUUGGGGUGGUAUUUAUAGCCUCCACACCCCCAACUAGCCGUUGGACAGAAAGCAGCAGCUUUCUGUCGUCGGGUGCACCGGACAGUCCGGUGCACCACCGGACACUGCACAGAAGAUGUCCGGUGCACGCCACGUCAGCCGACCGUUGGCGCCUGUAGCAGUCGACCGUUGGAUCUGACCGUUGCCGUCUGCCCGUUGGCACACCGGACAGUCCGGUGCACACCGGACAGUCCGGUGCUACAGCCAGAGAGCGCCUACCUGCGGCCUCUCUGCGCAGACAGUCCGGUGCCUCACCGGACAGUCCGGUGCACACCGGACACCAGUGUCCGGUGCGCCACCAGGCGCUGGCUGACAGCCCUUAUCUUGGAUUUCUUCGCUGAUUUCUUCGGGCUUCUUUGUUCUUGAGUAUUGGACUCCUAUGCAUCUUUUUAUGUCUUCUUUUGAGGUGUUGCAUCCUCAUUGCCUUGGUCCAAUUCUCUUCGCAUCCUGUGAACUACAAAACACAAACACUAGAAAACUUAUUAGUUCACAUAUUGUGUUGUUCAUCAAACACCAAAACUCAAUUAGCCAAAAGGCCUGGGGUCCAUUUUCCUUACAAUCUCCCCCUUUUUGGUGAUUGAUGACAACACAACCAAAGCAAGCAAAUAAUACAAGUAUUUGAGUGAAAAUAUGCAUUUUACUUGCUAAGAUGCAUGAUUGUCCCCACAAUGUGAAAUUAUGGACUUAAGCCUCCCCCUAACUCCAUAAUUCACUUACUUCCUAUUUUUGGACCAAAUAACCAAAACCACUUGAACAUUUGUAGAUAUAAAAUUUUAAAAUGGUGGUGUUUGGUGUUUGAUAUAGUUUUCAUUGCUUUGGUCCCUAAACUUCUCCCCCUUUGGCAUCAACCACCGAAAAGGAAGACAAUAAAAGCAUGUAGGAAGUAAAUAAAAACUUGCCCUCAUCAAGAAUUGUAUCAAUGAUAUCACUAGAAGGAUAUUAGAUUAAACUAUGUGAAUGAUACCACUUGAAGGAAUCCUCAAAAGAUUACUCCCCCUAAAUGAGUAUUCUCCUUUAGAAAGAGUUUUUCUCCCCCCUUUAGAGAUGAAGAAAUACUCCCCCUGACAGAGAUCCUCUACUUAGGAAAAAGCAUGUGAAAAAUUAGAGGUGCAAGACAUGAUUUGAAAAGACUAACUUCCCUUAUGCAUAGGUAACAGAAUAUGAAUUAACCACUUAUGCAUUUUUAGCAACAUGGAAGUAUAUGAUAUGAAAUAUAGUCUAAUCAAAUAUUGGAGAAGACAUGUAAAUGAUACUAGAUGUAGUCUCAAAAGAUACCAAUUGAAAGUCAAUGGCGAGCUUGAGAGACAUGAGAGUUCUUGGAGAUUUUGCAGUGGAAGAUUGUUGUCUUUCUCCGGGGACAUCAUUUUCCUUACAAUGAGACUAUCACAUAAAAUAGACUUGAAAAGGUGUUAGUCUCAAAGUAUUAGAUUAUAGAGUAACCUCCCCCUGAAGAUGUGCAUACAAGUUUUGAAUACUUGUUGGAGACAUGCACUUUGAUUUGAUAUCAAGAGGGGCAAAUUAUCCAUAAUCCAAACUUUGGCACAUAUAAGUUAAAUGAUACACUUUGGAGAGAUCAAAAAUUUUCAAUUGAUGCAUCAUUUACUAUGGAGUUAUAUAAAAGCUAUGUGCCGUGCUUAAAUAAACAUUUUAAGCCAUGUAGGUUUGCUUAAGUAUAUGAAUUAAGAACAAGCACUCCUACCAUAUGAUUUACCUAGUAUGCAUGAUUUUAAACAAAAGUACAUAACAAAUGUAAUACUAGGCAAGGAAGGUAAACUAGAUAAAAGAUAAAUAGAUACGCAUAUCUAAAAACGAGAAAUACAAUAAAACUAGUUACCUUAGUCAUGGGUGGGAAAUUUGGGUCCAAAAUUUUCACUAACUCACUUGGCAAUAAACUUGAUCCAAUAUGAUGUAUCCCAUGAUAUACAUCCCAAUUUAGCCAAGUCUCCAAAUUUCCCGAGGACCUUCGGUCCACUCACUUCCCUUUCGGGAUCCAAACCUUCUUGGUGCUUUUCAUGGUUGAAAUUAUCUCCUUUGGCACCCAGAUGCGUUUGGCCCCAUUUCCUUUGUUGGCUUGCUUGUUGGCCUUGAUUGCUAUCACCUUUCCGUUCUUUUUCUUCUUGAUCAAAUAUGGUGUAGCAUCCUUUUUGUUCACCUUUUUGAUGUAGGUGUUGGAGAUUUUGCUUGAUGGCUUUUGCUUGAGCUUUCGCCUUUGUUUAUCCCCGAUCAUCGCCUUGCAUUGGAAAGACUUGUGGCCUUCCAUGUGGCAUAGUCUACAAAUCACAGUUUCUCCCUCCAUAGGCUUGUUCACUCCCGCAGUGGUGUUAUCCUGUGAAGGUCGGAUUUGUUUGGCUUUGCCUUUCUUGUCAUACAAAGCCUUGCCAAGGCGAGCCACUUCUUGCUUUAAUUGUUCAUUUUCCUUUGCAACCUCAUCCGAACAUGUCUUUACAACAAUAUUCUCAACAACGUCUUGGUUGCAGGGGUUAGAAUCAUCAAUUAAAUCAAAGCAGGAAGUAGAAGCAUCUUUCUUAAUUAUUUCAGGUAUUUCAACUAAAGAUGUUGCUGGGGUGCUACCAAUGUUUUCUAGCUUAGUAGUUAGCUCAUUAUUGUGUAUGCUAAGAAUUUCCAUUUUCUCUAGCAAAUUUUCAAUAGCUUCUUGGGAGCUAGCUAACUUAGCCUUAAUUUUUUCAUUCUUUUUAAUAAGGCUAUCAUCGGUAGCAGUGGAUGGAGCACUAGAUUCUAAUAGCUCAAUUUUAGUUGAUAGCUCACUAUUUAAGUUUGCAAAAGUUUCAAAUUUUUCUAGCAAACCUUUGUAAUCAUUUUGAGAGCUAACCAACUUAUUUUUCAAAGUUUUAAGUUGAGCUUUUUGCUUAGUGCAAACAUCCUGGAAAAAUUCUACGGCUUCCGCAAGCUCAUCUAGAGAGGGCUUUCCCUCACCUUCAUCAUUACUACUACUUUCAUCACUAGAGGAUGGAAUGCUUUUGUUACCUCUUGCCAUAAGGCAUUUGUGUGAUGACCGUGAUGAUCGUGACGAGGACCGGUGGCUGCGUGUCCUUGGAGGUUCAUCUUCACUUGAAGAAUCAUCCCAAGUUCUAACACUUGUUAGCGCCUUGCCUUUGCUCCUCUCCUUUUUGGGUUUGGCCAUAUUUGGACAGUUGUCCCUGAAGUGACCCUUCUCCCCACAUGCGAAGCAUCCUCUCUUCCUUUGCUUUUUCCUGUCAAUGUUAAAGAGAAGAUCCUCGACCUGCAGGGGCACACCCAUUAGAUUAAUCUUGCGGAUCAUCCCCAUUACCUUUCCGACACGUCGGAUCGUUUCUUCGUCCUCGGAGGAUGAUGUGCAUGGUUGAUUAUCUUCAUCAUCAUCACUUUCUUCUUCUUCCUCUUCUUCACUUGAGGAACUUGGAGUGGGAGCCUUCUUUUUGCCCUUCCUUUCAUCACAUGCAAAAGCAUAUGGUCUUGAGGAAGUUGGCUCCUCUCCCCGACUCAUUUUUCGCGACAUCUCAAAGGCCGCGAUUUUCCCAAUCACAAUGGUCGGGGUCAUGUUGCUUAAGUCCUCCAUGUUGUGAAGGAUGGUGAUGAUGCUCCCAUAUCUUUGUUGUGGUAGCAGGGAGAUAAUCUUCCUCACAAUGUCCGCAUCACCUAGCUUAUUAAUGCCAAUAGAAUUGAGCUCAUUGAUAAUUAGAUUCAAGCGAGAAUACAUGUCUCUAACAAGCUCAUCAUCUUUCAUAGCAAAAGAAUUAUACUCAUUUAAGACUAGGCAAUGUUUUUGCUCACGGACAUUGGAUGUGCCGUCAUGGAGCUCAUGCAAUUUUAGCCAAAUCUCAUUAGCAGUUUUCAGGGUAAAUACUUGAUUGAAAAUAUCCAUGCUAAGAGAUUCAUACAAGCAAUUUUUGGCUCUAGCAUUUAAAUGAAUUUCUUUUUCUUCACUCGUGGUGGGUUUCUCGGGAUUCUUGAGGGGUUUCAUCCCGUCACGAGUGACUCUCCAAACACCUAGAUCAACGACCUCUAGGUAACAAGCCAUUCUAGCACUAUAAUAUGGGAAGUUAGUGCCGUCGAAGUGUGGUGGCCUAUGGGUAUCCAUCCCUUCCUCUAAAAAGCGUCGGCUCUUUUAGCGGUGAAGCUAAAGCGUUUCAAAUGAGCCAAACCGGGCUCUGAUACCACUUGUAGGAAACGGGUGACGCCUAAGAGGGGGGGUGAAUUAGGACUUCCAAAACUUUUACUAAACUAGGCCACAAUUAAAUCCCUAGAGCAAAACCUUUGCAAGUAAUCAAACUAGAGUGUGCAAACUAGGUUUUGUCUAAGUGUUGCUAUCUCUACCGCAAAGGUUAAGUUUCAAUCUACACUAAACAAGUAUGACUACAAGAUUGAAACUUAAAUGCUUAAUAUAAAUAUGGAAAGUAAAGAGCUAGGUAGAGAAGCAAACUCUCGUGGAUGACGCCGGUAUUUUUACCGAGGUAUCCGGAACCACGCAAGGUCCCGACUAAUCCUCGUUGGUGCCCCUACGCAAAGGGAAGCCCACGCGAGGGCCAAGCACCUCGGUCGAGUAACUCCAUAGAGAGCCGCGGGCCUUCUCCACGCGCAAGUGGUGCUCCGCUUCCGGCUCCUCUCGGACGCUCCCCGCCGUCUCCACUAUCGAGCUUCCGGCCGAAACGCCGCGGGCCUCGUUCCCUCCGGUACACGGUGGCGGCCGUGACACAAACGCGGUUGUCACGGUCUCGCAAGACUCUCGCCCCACUCGGUACAAUUACAACGACUCACGCAAGAGCCGAGGGGUUGUGUGGUUUUACAAAACUUACUCAACUAACUAGGAUUCACCUAGAGCAAGCACUAAUGCGGUCUAACUAACCUAAGCACUUCACAAAGCACCUACGCUAAUCACCGAGUGAUUCUAUUAAGCACUUGGGUGUUUGAGCACUUGGAAAUGUCUACAAUAUGCCUUGGUAUGUUUCUUGGGCUCCCACACAUGAGAAUGGCCGGUUGGGGUGGUAUUUAUAGCCUCCACACCCCCAACUAGCCGUUGGACAGAAAGCAGCAGCUUUCUGUCGUCGGGUGCACCGGACAGUCCGGUGCACCACAGGACACUGCACAGAAGAUGUCCGGUGCACGCCACGUCAGCCGACCGUUGGCGCCUGUAGCAGUCGACCGUUGGAUCCGACCGUUGUCGUCUGCCCGUUGGCACACCGGACAGUCCGGUGCACAUCGGACAGUCCGGUGCUACAGCCAGAGAGCGCCUACCUGCGGCCUCUCUGCGCAGACUGUCCGGUGCCUCACCGGACAGUCCGGUGCACACCGGACACCAGUGUCCGGUGCGCCACCAGGCGCUGGCUGACAGCCCUUAUCUUGGAUUUCUUCGCUGAUUUCUUCGAGCUUCUUUGUUCUUGAGUAUUGGACUCCUAUGCAUCUUUUUAUGUCUUCUUUUGAGGUGUUGCAUCCUCAUUGCCUUGGUCCAAUUCUCUUCGCAUCCUGUGAACUACAAAACACAAACACUAGAAAACUUAUUAGUUCACAUAUUGUGUUGUUCAUCAAACACCAAAACUCAAUUAGCCAAAAGGCCUGGAGUCCAUUUUCCUUACAAUACCCUUUACCCACAAGUCAUGUUACCCAUCUGCCAAGGGAUCGCGACUUCCCAUACACCUCUACCGAGGAGGCGAGGCAGGGUAACACUACGAGGCCUUUACAAAGUUCCACUAGCUUUAGAAAACCCGCUACAGUUUAUAGGAAGCUCCAAUGCAGGGUUCUUGCCUGACCGCCAUCGCAGCAAAAUCAACCAAGGACCUCCCUACACUGACCACUCCCCUACUGCCCUUGCCCCUUUCGGGUAAGGUAGUCCUCCACUAGCUUUCCUAAUUAAUCAGCCAAGGGCGUCCAUAAACCCUUGUGGUGGCACGUGUUUCUCAAGUUAAGCUCUAUGUUCCAAUUAACAUUAAUGAUCUUGACAUGAACAUAAAUAGAAUAACAAAAUAACUGGAACAUAGAUAUGAUAAAUAAUUAUCCCAAAUCCAUGUAAAGCAAUAGCAAACUACCCAAGUGAUUCAGGGGUAAACAAGGUAAUGAGAUAAACAAUCUAGGGUAACCUAUUGGGUCCCAUCAAAAUUAACCUAUGCAUGAAUAAAUGAUAUUAAAGAACAUUAUUGGGUAACAAAAGUGAAUCAAGGGCACAACUUGCCUGGGACUUGAGAUUCCAGGUACCAGAAUGAUCUUCAGGUGACUCGUGACCUCACGCUAGUCGUAGCAAUACAAACAAACAGUGUAUAGACAAAAUUAACAUUACACCAAACAUAAGUACAAACUGAAUAAUAAUAAUCUACGCGUCGCUACAAGACUAACGCAACUUGAACGGAUCAAAUCGGAGUUAAAACGAAGCAGUUACGAAUUUCCUAAGGUUUUAUGUAUUUGAUACGAGAUUAAUUAAGAGAUAAAUUUUAAUACAGCUUUCAUGUCAAACCAGAGGUACUAUGUGAUAAACAAUAAUAUUAUAGAAUUAUAGGAAUUGGAAUGAAUCAAUUUGGACAUCAUAUGAAUUUUCUAUGAUUAAUACAAGUUCUAGCAUUUAGUUUUACACUAAAAAUCCAUUUCUAAUCUAUUUUCUCUGAUUUUCCAACUUUCUGGACUAGGCCUCAAUUACCCGAAAAGGCAGGGGCCUCGGGGUAACAUUUCUAAGACACAGGAAACAGUAGCCAUGGACUGCGGGUUCUAAUUUGCCUAAACCGAGGGGUUCCAGUGAAAUUGGGCCCGCGAAGGGGUAUCGUGAGAUUCUGGCCGUUCGAUCAGAAACUACAGGCUCCGAUUAGAUCGCAAUUUUCUCCAAGCGGUACACCUCGCUAGCCGCCGGAUCUCGCAUCGACGGUUCUGAUUCCCUGAAACACUCGUCGCCCCGAACUCUAAUCCCAGUCGCCCAACUAAGAUCCAAUGGUUACAAACAUAUCCCCUUUCCCUACCAUCCGAGGCUGCUCACCUAGGAAUCAACGGCUAACACGCCGUCUUCUCCACGGCGCUAUCCGCCGCUGCGCGCACCAGGCAGGCACAGCCCCGCCCACGGCCGCAGACGCCCCCACCGAUGCGCGCAGUAAUCACGCCACCACGUCAGACCUAGGUCGAGCGAUGGUGAUACCACGCCCCGCUACGCCGAGCCGAACGCCAGCCCAGAUUAAGUCUAGCUGCCAAGGUGAGCUACGCCAGGAAGAAGAAUAAGGCGAGAACGUGGGGGUGUUCCUUACCGAGGGAUUGCGCGACGCAGGAGACCACAGCCGAAGUCUUGCGGCCCGACGAUGCCGACGUGGAUCCACCACGGCGGCCGCAUGCUCUACCCCUGCUACGACGGCGACUCUAUUUGUCGAUGUGGAGGGUCACUGAUUGUCGCAUCCAAGGUAUGCGGCGGCCGUUCUUUUUAUAUCCCGAAUGCGAGGCCGAGG